rnacentral:rRNA from 1 species
UACGUAGGGUGCGAGCGUUGUCCGGAAUUAUUGGGCGUAAAGAGCUCGUAGGCGGUUUGUCGCGUCGGCCGUGAAAACUUGGGGCUUAACCCCAAGCCUGCGGUCGAUACGGGCAGACUUGAGUUCGGCAGGGGAGACUGGAAUUCCUGGUGUAGCGGUGAAAUGCGUAGAUAUCGAGAGGAACACCUGCGGCGAAGGCGGGUUGCUGGGCUGACACUGACGCUGAAGCGCGAAAGCUAGGGGAGCGAACAGG